UGACCUCAUCUAGAAUACUGCAGAAUUAGAUGACCAACCAUGGUUCACAGUGGGCUCCACUCCCAUCAUUUCAGCCUGAACCCACAGAAGCCCUAGUCCUUGUCAAGAAGUCCAAAUUUCUCAGGACUCCAGAGGCAUAAAGAUUUUCACAAAGCAGCCCUGAUUCUUAGAGUGUCUCUUUUAUCAGCAACAAUGGAAACAUUCUCCCUUAUGUUUGCCAGUACAGAUAAAGUCCUGUUGAACAAAGAGUCCUCUUGAACAAACCAGAUCUGCCUCUAGGUUUUGCCAGGGCUGUCUCCUCAGCACAACUCUCCAGACCAAAGAGGAAAGAACAUAUAUGGAGUGGUUCCUAUAUGCCAGACUUCUCCAUCUGGUCUGCAUUUGAAGAUUCCUUAUAGACAACUGUGUUCUUGUCACCCCUGAGAACCUGGUCAUGGCCAGGGGUCUGAAUAGAUGGGGACUCAUCAUUUACCUGCCAGAUCUGAAAUGACCAGGUCAGCCAUAUCUGUCCUGCAGAGAAUGCUGUUGCCUCAGGAAAAUUCAAUAAUUGGCCCCCAACUCAGACAUCGUGAGGCUGAACUGUUAUCCAAACUGGAAAGGAGAGAGAGACAGACAGACAGACAGACAGGCAGAGAGGUAUCUGAAGGUGAUAGGAGACCAGAAAACACGUCAAGGUGAAAUUCACUAACUAUUGUUUAAUGACACUAGCAACUUGCCUGGCCACAUUAGCAAAGGAACGGAAGUCUCCUGCAUUCUAAUCUUUCUAAAAUUAGCCAACACAGCCACUAUGAUGGAAAGAACCAUUCAUUUCAUUUCGUAAACCUGCCCUGGACAGAAUUAUAAGUGAGCAAAGACAAGUUCAUGCCAACUUUUAUCUCUGCUACUAUGACUGACAUGGAAUUUGAAAGGAAGAGCAAGACAAAAGGCGAGGCUCUGAGCAACGCACUGUAAUACAUUCAUAUUAAAGACAGAGACACUCUCUUGUGGCUGCCCAACUGCCUACAUAAUUCAGGAUGUUCUUCUACAUUCAAUAAAACUAAUAAAAAGUUUAAGUUUUUUUUUUUUCCAGAUGAUAUUUAAAGUACCUUUCAAAUCCGAUUAGCCAAACCCUUGUCAUGACUGAAAAGGUCUUCAGACUGAACAUGUACACAGUCCAGCUCUGGUGGGUGUUACUCCGAGGGACCUGUCACUGAAGAGGCCCUAGGCUUCCUAGAGCCACAGGAGUGCCACAGCCCCUGGCAUCAGCCACCUGCCCUGUAAAGGAAAGUAUCUGAAGUCCUAUGUCCUCUGUAUCUGAAGUCCUAUGUCCUCUGGGCUAAAGCCUGGAAGCUCUUCUAGGAAGCAUAACCCAGAUGAACCCUGAGUCAAAGCACUUUCAGGCUACUGGGACAUAGCUGCCCACAUACAGACAGGACGUGCCAGCUGCCCUGCUAUGUAAAUGGACGUAACACGGAACUAAAUGCUUCCUAAGAGGUCAUAUUUUCUAUAAGUAAAUGAUGAAAGAGAAGUACAAAUGUGUGCAGAGGCUGUGAGGGAAAAAAAUGCUAUACACUUGCACUAAAGUAAAACUUGUACUGGGCUAAUGCUUUCCCUAAAUGCAAGACCACUUGGGGAAGAAAAGGAAUACGUGAACCUACAGGUUAUUGGAGAACUCUUGAAUGUUUAAACAAAUUAAGAUAAAACAGUAUCUCGAGCCAUCACAAGAUAUAAGAUAAAAUGAUGAAAGACUUGAAACAAUUUCUAUGUUUGUUGUGAGUUUUCUCAUUGCGUAGCCUUAUAUCUUCAAAGAUGUGUGAAGCACAGAGUAGAAGACAUGUUAUUCUGAUUUUCUUUUUUUAAGUUAGGUCUUUGGGAGUUAAGAUACAUCUAUAAAUAUAGAGUGUGACACCUUCAAGGAAAGCAGAAAUGAUAAUAAUCAGUCCAGUUCCAGGGUUAGAAAGUCAUUUAAUGAGUGGACCUAGAUGAACAGUCCUCCAAGUGCACUCAGCAGUGUUAACAGCGUUUACAUCAGAAAGGAAAAGUUCCAUGGAAAAUUGCAUUUGAGAAAUACUGGAUUAAAAGGUUUUUGCUUUUUGUUUUUUUUUUUUAACUUUAAGGCAGCUCAAAGCUUUGUGUAUGUUUUCACAUUCGUAGCAAAUCUCAGAGCAGGAGAUAAAGCAUGAACCAUUUUCCAAAUUUAUUUAUAAAGCCAUUUUAUUCCUGGAAUAUCUGGUGGGAUUAGUGUUCCUUGGUUUACAUUUUAGGAAAUGCUGAAUUAGAUAAGACUUGUGAAUUGCUGUAAAAAAAGAAGGGAGGGAGGGGAAAAGGGAGAAAAGAAAUGAAAAAAUGCAAAAUCUUAGGUAAUUUGAGGUCACGUGCACCUGAUAGACUCACUGUCUUUGCCAUAUCUGAAGGUGUAAAAAGAGAGGAAAGUGUAUGGCAUUCUAACUAAACUUUUUAAAAAAUACAAAUAGUCGUGAUAAGACAAACAAACAAACAAACGAACUUAGGGUCAUCACCCAUGGAUCUACCAUAGCUUUCUCUUCUGGCCCAUUUUCUUUUGAAAAUAAAACUAAAUAUAAACAAGAAAUUAAAAAUCAAAAUAAAACACAUGGUAUCAAACCAUGUUUAGGUUAUGAGUAAUCAAUCUCUAUCACGGAUUUUCCCCUGAGAACUCUCUGGACCCCACCCACACCCCAAGAAACUCCUCUUCACUUCGGCAAACUGCAAAUGCUCACUAGUAUUCUCAGUGGUCACUCAGGACCUCCUGGGUGCUUUUGGUUACCAUGGAUCAUGCCAGGCACCAUACUCAACACUCAGAGCACACUGUUCCAUGGAUGGCCUACAGCAAUGCUAUGAGGCUGGGGCAUCAGCUUCCUUAUAUGAAUGAAGCAGUGUAAACUCAGUGGACAUUAAAUAACUUUUUCAAGGGAGUCAUAUCUUCUUGACUUGAGUGCCUCCUCUAUUGCCACCUCCUACUGAGUUCUUUUCAGGUUUUUACUCUCUUAACUCCCAUGCACAACUCUGAACUUGUUGCCUCUGUGAUGCCCUUCCAGACCUAAGCCCUGUAUUGGCCUUGGAACCUUGAUUUUCACUACUGGAGGCAAGUUUGGCACGUCCUCUGUUCCAGCUCACUGUGGGCAAUCAACUCAUGACAUCAGCCACUUGGCUAGAACCUUCUCCAGAACAACGGGAGUUUGGGACCCCAGGCCAGAAGGAGUGACUCACUUCCAUUCAGUCUUUAUCUUUGGGACACAUAACAGAACUACAGUUACAGGAAGAAAUGAGGACAUUACGAAUCUAGAAGACUGAGGAACACAUUUUGGAACUGGUCCCUGAUGUAUUAGAGUAGUGUCCAUACACAUAGCAAUUAAAAUAGAGGUCACAAGCUCACAAACUUGUAAGAGCUUGGAUGCUACGGUCUAUAGUGGUGGAGACUGUGGCAAACUGGUAUGUGUGUGCCUUAUCCAUACAGAUAAUUGUGGCUCAGUUGUUGUGGCUGAGUUGGAAACAUAAGCUUAAUAAUGUCUGGCAUUCCCAUUUUCAAAAGAA